UUCUGGCUCAGGAUGAACGCUAGCUACAGGCUUAACACAUGCAAGUCGAGGGGAAACGACAUCGAAAGCUUGCUUUUGAUGGGCGUCGACCGGCGCACGGGUGAGUAACGCGUAUCCAACCUGCCCACCACUUGGGGAUAACCUUGCGAAAGUAAGACUAAUACCCAAUGACGUCUCUAGAAGACAUCUGAAAGGGAUUAAAGAUUUAUCGGUGAUGGAUGGGGAUGCGUCUGAUUAGCUUGUUGGCGGGGUAACGGCCCACCAAGGCUACGAUCAGUAGGGGUUCUGAGAGGAAGGUCCCCCACAUUGGAACUGAGACACGGUCCAAACUCCUACGGGAGGCAGCAGUGAGGAAUAUUGGUCAAUGGACGAGAGUCUGAACCAGCCAAGUAGCGUGCAGGAUGACGGCCCUAUGGGUUGUAAACUGCUUUUAUAAGGGAAUAAAGUGAGUCUCGUGAGACUUUUUGCAUGUACCUUAUGAAUAAGGACCGGCUAAUUCCGUGCCAGCAGCCGCGGUAAUACGGAAGGUCCGGGCGUUAUCCGGAUUUAUUGGGUUUAAAGGGAGCGUAGGCCGGAGAUUAAGCGUGUUGUGAAAUGUAGAUGCUCAACAUCUGCACUGCAGCGCGAACUGGUUUCCUUGAGUACGCACAAAGUGGGCGGAAUUCGUGGUGUAGCGGUGAAAUGCUUAGAUAUCACGAAGAACUCCGAUUGCGAAGGCAGCUCACUGGAGCGCAACUGACGCUGAAGCUCGAAAGUGCGGGUAUCGAACAGGAUUAGAUACCCUGGUAGUCCGCACGGUAAACGAUGGAUGCCCGCUGUUGGUCUGA
rnacentral:rRNA from 1 species